rnacentral:lncRNA from 1 species
UAGUGUUCAUCAUGGCAAGCAGAUGGCACCAGGAGAAAUGGAACCCCUGCAGUGCAGGAGGGCAGACCCUGGAGGAGAGAGCGACCUAAGCUGAUGCCCACAGUGAAUUCCAGAGCUUAGGAGUCCUGCA